GUCGAGCGGUAGAGAGAAGCUUGCUUCUCUUGAGAGCGGCGGACGGGUGAGUAAUGCCUAGGAAUCUGCCUGGUAGUGGGGGAUAACGUUCGGAAACGAACGCUAAUACCGCAUACGUCCUACGGGAGAAAGCAGGGGACCUUCGGGCCUUGCGCUAUCAGAUGAGCCUAGGUCGGAUUAGCUAGUUGGUGAGGUAAUGGCUCACCAAGGCGACGAUCCGUAACUGGUCUGAGAGGAUGAUCAGUCACACUGGAACUGAGACACGGUCCAGACUCCUACGGGAGGCAGCAGUGGGGAAUAUUGGACAAUGGGCGAAAGCCUGAUCCAGCCAUGCCGCGUGUGUGAAGAAGGUCUUCGGAUUGUAAAGCACUUUAAGUUGGGAGGAAGGGCAUUAACCUAAUACGUUAGUGUUUUGACGUUACCGACAGAAUAAGCACCGGCUAACUCUGUGCCAGCAGCCGCGGUAAUACAGAGGGUGCAAGCGUUAAUCGGAAUUACUGGGCGUAAAGCGCGCGUAGGUGGUUUGUUAAGUUGGAUGUGAAAUCCCCGGGCUCAACCUGGGAACUGCAUUCAAAACUGACUGACUAGAGUAUGGUAGAGGGUGGUGGAAUUUCCUGUGUAGCGGUGAAAUGCGUAGAUAUAGGAAGGAACACCAGUGGCGAAGGCGACCACCUGGACUAAUACUGACACUGAGGUGCGAAAGCGUGGGGAGCAAACAGGAUUAGAUACCCUGGUAGUCCACGCCGUAAACGAUGUCAACUAGCCGUUGGAAGCCUUGAGCUUUUAGUGGCGCAGCUAACGCAUUAAGUUGACCGCCUGGGAGUACGGCCGCA
rnacentral:rRNA from 1 species